GCCUGUUCGUUUGGUUUGGUGAUAGUCCCAAAGAGAUGGAAUGUGAGAGGCCACGUCAUCAUAACAAGAAGUAGAAUCUUGAAGAGAUUAUCUGGAUGAUUCUGGGAGACCUCCUACUUAUCAUCUCGGGCAUUUAUUCCAAAUGAUUGAUUUAUUAAUAUACUAUAACCAUUUCCUAGUUCUUUUCAAUUCUUAUAGCUGUAGUCUUAUCUUAAAUAAAGGAUGAGGAUCUCUUCAUCUUUUUAGAUAACCACGAGUCACAUCCUGACAAAGAAAUAGAGAAGAGUUUCCCCUUCAGCCUGAGUAAUAAGAUGAUGGAGAUUUUUAUGUGGGGGAAAAAUAGCUACUCGAGAACAGCACCUAUGAUGGAACUGAUGCCAGGAUGUAGGUGCCAGAGCAGCAGGACACAACAGAAUCACCAAAAGCAGUGCUGACAAGGGAGGAAAAAGCUAUGUGACAUCUCGG
rnacentral:lncRNA from 1 species